UCCGAAUACGUGUUUUCUAAAUGCUCAAUUAGGUAAUUUACCUUCGCUUACUUGGAAGAGUAUCUGAUCGGCAAAAGGUAUUCUGGAAAAAGGUCUGUGCUGGAGGGUUGGCAAAGGGGAUCGUAUUUCUGUUUGGGAGGACCUAUGGAUUUCGGGCAACGAAGAAGAUAGAUUGCAAAAUCAUCAAAGAAAUGGGAUUUUACAUUAGUUUCGGAUUUGAUUGAUUCAGUAAACAGAAAGUGGAAAGAUGAUAUAAUUUCUAAUACCUUCAAUGCGGAAGUUGCUAAGAAGAUUUUGCAGAUUCUAUUGGCAAUGUCAGCAAGUGAAGAUUUCCAAGUCUGGAGAGGCGAGCCUUCUGGUAAUUUUUCGGUUCGAAGUGCCUACACACUAUUACAGGAGGGUAUUCAAAAUCCUAUUAAUUUACAGACCGAGACUAAAGCUUUUUACAAAAAAUUAUGGAAUUUACAAAUCCUCCCGAAAAUUAAAAUUACAAUAUUGGGAAUCUCUUGGAAUUAUAUUCCUAAUUUUGCUAAUCUAAAGAUCAAAAGAACAAUUGCAGAUGCUCGAUGUCCCCGAUGCAAUCUGAAAGAGGAUGAUUGUAACCAUAUUUUUCGUGGAUGUCCUACAACAAAAGAAGUUUGGAGACUCAUACAGUUAUCGUGGAUUCUCAAUAAUACUGAAGAUACUUUUUGGAACUGGUUUACAUGGGUUUUCUGUCGUGGAUCAAAUGAACAGUGUCGUCUUUUUUGUUACGAGCUUUGAAUCAUCUGGACAAGCAGGAACAGAUUUGUUUAUGAAAAUAGACAAUCAACAAGCAAAGACAUCUCUUUUAAAAUUUCAGACUUUAUUUUCGAACUAAGAGGAGUGGAGGAAAAGAAACUUAUCUUGGCUGGAAAUGGCGAUUCAAGAACUGAAGUGAGUAGAAUGAGCAGAUCAGUUUACUUUAAUGCGGCAUUUGAUCAUCAACAUGCAAGAUCUGCUUCGAGAUUGAUUGUUCGAGGCGAGGGAGGGGAGAUUUUGGUCUCAAAAUCAGUUAUUCAUACCAACAUAGCAACUCCAUUCGCGGCAGAGGCACAUGCAGGGUUACAAGCCUUAGAGUUAGGAAGGUCUAUGGGGUUUAAGGAUUUACAAAUAUUAGGUGAUUCAAAAACGAUCAUCAAAAAGUGCCAAAGUUCAAAACAAGACAGAUCGGUCAUCGGAGCAAUCAUCAAUGAUAUUCAAGAGAUUAAAACUAGUUUUAACAGUAUCAAUUUUAGUUUUAUCUCUAGAACAGAAAAUUUUUAUGCUCAUGCGGUUGCAACAGAAGCAUUAAGGAAAGGAGAAGGACAUUACCUGGAAGGGGCGGUUCCGACUACCAUUCGACGAGCAGGAGUAAGGGUGAGCCCAAGAUUUCAAGAUUGAGAGAAAAGAUGUGACUUUUGGGUGGAGUAGCAGAAGGUAAAAAGAUAUGAGAAAUCUGCUAUUAUAAAAGGCUGUGCCGGUUAUGGGAAAUGGAAAAAUUAAAGAAGGCCAGUUGUUUCCUAUUCAACUGAGAUUUCUAAAAGCAUUCUAUUUUUCUUUUUCAUUAUUUUUUGGUUUUUUUUCCUUAGGGUUAAAUUUAUUUGAUUACUUUUGAGUGUUUGGCCACUUCGUUAAAGGUCUGUGAUGUUUCUUUUCUUAGUUUUGCUGUAAGUUUG
rnacentral:lncRNA from 1 species